AGUGUUUCAAAUGCAAUUUUGCUGCCUGCUGGCAACUGCUCAGCUCCCGGUUAGACUGCUGUAAAAGGGCCUCCCACGGCUGGAGCCUGAGGGCCGCGGGCUCAGGCCUCCCCAAUGGGCGCCUGCGGAAUGCACAGGAAGCCUGGGAGCCUCUGCAAACGGUCAACAAACCCCCGCCUGGUUUGUUAGCUGGUCUCCCUAAAUGGCCCAGGCUGGGCUCCCCCUGGAGAUCGUCCUGACUCAGCUUCCUGACGGAUGAGUUUACAAAGCCGAUUUAUCUUGCGGGUGGAGGCGGAUGUCCGGUGCUCCGACCACAGAAUCGGGGCUGGUGGCCAAGAAGCCGGCGGUGCCCUCACGCCAGGGCCAUGGCACGGCCCUGAGGUGGGCUCAGGACACCGCGAUGGACCCGGUGCCCAGCCCAGCAGCGCUGUUAGGUGUGGCCGGAGCAGGCCGCAGAGCUCGCUCUCCGCAGAGGUGGCGGGUGCUGUGAGCCUGCAGUCAGCAUCUGUUUCCGGCCCCUGCAAACCUCCGCCCUGCAGCGGUGCCAGGGGGACGGGCAAGGCUUCCCUGUGGGGCAGAUGCGCCAGUGUGGUUGGCACAGGUGGCACCGGGAUGGGAUGUGGCUCCCCACAGCCCACCCGGCAGGCCGAGGCUCAGAGGCGCCCCUCGGAGGAGAGAGGGCAGGACGUGGGGGUGCCGGGUCCAGGCCGGGCAGUCGCUUUCAGUGACUGUGACUGAGGGGAGCAGAGCUCACUGCUCUCUUCCCGGGGGACCCUGGGUUUCAGGGAGACCUGGCUGUACCCCGGCUUCCCGUCACCCCGGGGUCUGUGAUUUAAGAGGAUCAGGUCUGGGGUGCAGCGUGCCGAUGCGGGUUGGGAAACGGAUCCGAGGAGGCUCUGGACUGCGCCCUGAGCGUGGGCCAGAGAUAAAAAUACACACAGAAAAAUAAACAACGGUGAGCUCGGGA